rnacentral:rRNA from 1 species
ACUCCUACGGGAGGCAGCAGUGGGGAAUUUUCCGCAAUGGGCGAAAGCCUGACGGAGCAAGACCGCGUGAGGGAGGAAGGCUCUUGGGUUGUAAACCUCUUUUCUCUGGGAAGAUGAUGACGGUACCAGAGGAAGAAGCAUCGGCUAACUCCGUGCCAGCAGCCGCGGUAAU